UUUCUUUCUCAUCUUGUAUUGCAAAGUUGCAGGAGCACAGUCCAGUGCAGUUUCCCCUUGUGCAUUCUUGUAUUCCAGGCUUGCUCCAGAUUCCAUGAGUGUAAAAGCUAUAUCAGUUUGGUUAAAGAGUGCCGCCAAAUGUAGUACAGACAGGCCUUGCUUGUCGCGAUAAUUUGCAUCCACACCCUCACUGAGUAUCUUCUUGACUGCAGCAGUAUCACCAUUCUUUAUGGCUUCCCUCAAACCCUCCCCAUUUACUUCAUAAUCCAUCUGAGGUUUAUCAAUACCACCAUUUGUUAUUUGACCAUAACUGAAAACAGAACUAGGUUUGUUGUUUGAAGUGGAACCUCUGUUCUUAGGAAUGGCAUCUGUCUUCUUUGGUUUUGGAUUUGACUGAGAAGCACUGGUAGAAGGGGUUUUCAUCUGCAGGGCAGGUGCAUCUAUGGUUGGAGCCGGAGUUUCACAUAUGCAUAAAGGCAUCCCACACUUGCACUCUAUAACACCAGUAGCAGAAUUAUGCUGGGCAGCUGUUUCUGUGUUUGAAUCUGUUUCUGAACCAAUGUCUAAUCUAGAAACUUUAUCUGCUACAGAAUUCACUCCAUCUGAGGAAGCCUGUUGAUUGACAUUUCCUGAGCGAGUAGAAUCAUUAAAACAAUCAGCACAAACUCUAACACUUGAGUGGAUUCCAAAUUGAGGCAGAGCCAUUUGAUUUGACGAGUGUUCAUGACAUAGUGUCCUUCCACAGCGACGGCAAUGAUGCCUUCGUCGGAAAGUACUGAAGCUGCAUUUGCAGACGUCACACCGAUCUGCUUCCUGGAAAUGAGGCGGCUCCAAUGCCAUUUCUGGUCUCCGAUCUUUCCCCUCGGCCGCCGAUUUUCGGUAUUCUCAGCUCUG
rnacentral:misc_RNA from 1 species